GGCCCAUUAGCUCAGUGGCUAGAGCGUCGUGCUAUUAACGCCGAAGGUCGUGGGUUCGAUCCCCGCAUGGGCCA